rnacentral:ncRNA from 2 species
UUAAAAGCUGUGAAGAGAAGAGUAGCGGUUUUUUCAGACUAAAGAGAGUCGGGUAAGGUGAGAGCCGAUGUUGGAAAUUACCGGUGAAAAUCAUCUCGGAGCUGCCAGGGUGAACUUUAAAGUAAUUCUGGCCGGGUUCCCUGCAAGAGGGAAAUAGGUUACCGUUAAAAUAACCGGGUAUCGGGCGCACUGCCCCGUACCUAUUGAGAUUUAUACCGCGAGGUAUAAAUGAAUACAGGGUGGUAACGCGAGAUCCUUCGCCCCUUUU